GGACGAACGCUGGCGGCGUGCUUAACACAUGCAAGUCGAACGGUGAAGCUCAAGCUUGCUUGGGUGGAUCAGUGGCGAACGGGUGAGUAACACGUGAGCAACCUGCCCCGGACUCUGGAAUAAGCGCUGGAAACGGCGUCUAAUACUGGAUAUGACACCAAUCCGCAUGGGUAUGGUGUGGAAAGUUUUUCGGUCUGGGAUGGGCUCGCGGCCUAUCAGCUUGUUGGUGAGGUAAUGGCUCACCAAGGCGACGACGGGUAGCCGGCCUGAGAGGGCGACCGGCCACACUGGGACUGAGACACGGCCCAGACUCCUACGGGAGGCAGCAGUGGGGAAUAUUGCACAAUGGGCGAAAGCCUGAUGCAGCGACGCCGCGUGAGGGAUGACGGCCUUCGGGUUGUAAACCUCUUUCAGCAGGGAAGAAGCGAAAGUGACGGUACCUGCAGAAGAAGCACCGGCUAACUACGU
rnacentral:rRNA from 1 species